UCAGAGGCCUGCCUGAUGCCCAUCAGCAUGAGGGACUCGAGUCUUCAGCCUCCAUCAUCACAGCACAAAGACAUCUGGACGAUUGUCAAGGACGUCACAAUCUCUGUGAUAGCUGACAUGUCCCAUGGGGCAUUGCUGAAAAAGGAAAGCAAAGUUACUGUUGCGUGAGCAAAUACAGCAUGGAUGGUUCCAUUAAUGCAGUUAUCUUGCAGUGCUGACUGGGUGCUGUAUACGAGCUAGCCCAGCAUCUAUAAAUAUGCUCUUCUACAAGGCAGGGACCCUGGAUGACACUUGCACAGGUGCAAACACCAAUCACAGAGAUUCAGUGUUUGUCUGAUGAACCAUUGUUUCAACAAUCUACUGCCCUCAAACUCAGCUUUUCAGCCUCUCUCCCCUGUGUGACGGUUUUCAGGAAAAACAA